rnacentral:tRNA from 1 species
CCCUGGGUGGUGAAAACAGUUAACACGCUCAGCUGCUAACUGAGGUUGGAGGUUCGAAUCCACCCAGAGGCA